GCCCGGUACGGAUAGUUCAGUCUUCAAGAAGUCGGAUUCUCGAUCGGUCGAACUUAGGAAACGCGCUCCUGACAUACGUGUAUUAUAAUUCACCCUUACGACAGGCUCGUUUUACUUACCACCAUAUGCACUUCACUGCUACGGACAAAAUGAAGAUCCGACCUGUAUAGGCAGAGUGCAGGUGACGAUAAUUCGCGCCCCCUUAUCGAGUGUGUUGCUACUUAAUUCGAGUUUCGGUUCAUCGCUUGUAUGGUUGAUUGUAAUUAAAAAAAAAAACGCUUAAACCUCUGUGCUGUAAUGAUUAAACGCGAUUUAUUAUAAGGAGAAGAAGUUAAAACUUAUUUGAAAGUGAAGUACCGAGUUUUACCGAUAAGGGUUGUUACUGUUGGUUUUGUUGCUGUUGUUGUUAUUCAUAUACCAACAUCCGCAAGCCAGUGCCCGUUGUCUAUUUGUCGGAGGAGGUUUUGUCGAGUCACUUAAGAAUUAUAAAGAUAUUACUCGUCUUUCAACGUGGACGUAAACCAAAGCGAAAACUUUUUCAAUAUUAAUAUCACCGAUGGAGUUCUCUUCGGCAGUGUUUCUAUUUGGGUUACUUCUCAGCAUAGCAAACUCCGUUCAAAGAAGUACAGCCGUACCAGAAUGUGGAUAUCCAGGAGCGCCGGCCCACAGUUUCGUCCGAUUUGGACUGCCGGGCGAAGAAGAUGUUAUCGAUGAAGCCGAGGCGCCCCUAAAUGUCGCUUCUCACUCCCCGGGAACCGUGGCGACGUACUCAUGUGAACGGGGAUUCGAACUUCUCGGUCCGGCGCGAAGACAGUGUCGAGAAAAUGGAACAUGGGUACCCGAUGGCGUCCCGUUUUGCGUGCUGAACGUGGCCGGAGGCAAAGCUCCGAUGCAAUCGAGCACUACAGAUGGUGGAAUACCUCAGCGAGCAGUCGACGGAAGUAGCGGCCAAGUCUACACUCCUCAGACCUGCACAUUGACGAGACCCGAGUUGUCGCCAUGGUGGUACGUGAACCUGUUGGAACCGUACAUGGUUCAGCUGGUUCGUCUGGAUUUCGGAAAACCAUGCUGUGGAGAGGGAUUGCCAGGCACUAUCGUUGUUCGCGUAGGUAACAACAGGCCUGAUCUUGGAACAAACCCAAUUUGCAAUCGGUUUACCGGUCAGUUGGAAGAAGGGCAGCCUCUCUUUCUGCCAUGCAAUCCUCCGAUGCCAGGAGCCUUUGUAUCGGUCCAUUUAGAAACUGCUUCGACAAGUCCGGUGCCUGUGCAGUUGUCACUGUGCGAAGCUUUCGUUUACACUGAUCAGGCAUUGCCCAUUGAAAGGUGUCCACAAUUCAGGGACCAACCGCCAGGUUCCACCGCAACUUACAAUGGCAAAUGCUACAUCUUCUACAACAGACAACCAAUGACGUUCAGGGAUGCUCUAGGAUUCUGUAGAGCGCGAGGAGGAACUCUGGUCGAUGAAAGUAACCCAGCACUGCAGGGAUUCAUUUCGUGGGAACUGUGGAGGAGACAUAGGAGUGACACAUCGAGCCAGUAUUGGAUGGGAGCAGUGCGAGAUCCGAAAAAUAGAACUACCUGGCGAUGGACCGGAAGCGGAGAAGAAGUUUCAGUUUCUUUUUGGAGUCUACCUCAGGGCACUGACGAAGAUUGCGCUCGAUACGACGGCACUCGAGGAUGGCUUUGGUCAGACACCUCGUGUACAGCUCAUCUGAAUUAUAUCUGCCAACAUCAGCCUCGUGCAUGUGGUCGUCCUGAACAGCCGCCUAAUUCUACGAUGAUUGCUAGCACUUUCGAGUCAAGUUCGAGAGGAAAUUACGAAGUUGGAGCAACCGUAGAAUACAGUUGCAACGGUGGCAGUCUGCUCAUUGGACAUUCGACUAGAACCUGCCUCGAUACUGGAUUCUACAACGAAUUUCCACCCAUCUGCAAAAACAUCGAAUGUGGGUAUCCUGCAAGCAUCAGACAUGGAGAAUAUACUCUGAUCAAUAACACAGUCAGCUACCUCAGCCAAGUCCUGUAUUCUUGCGAAGAUGGUUACGAAAUGACUGGAAGAGCCAGGCUGACCUGUGACGUUGAUGAGAGAUGGAAUGGCCCUCCACCCCGCUGUGAACCAGUUCGAUGUGACUUGCCAUCGGUUAUUGCACACGGUCGUUACGAAGUAGCGGUAGACAGCGAUACGGAGAUUGGUAGAAAUAAGAAUAAUCAAACACUGUUAGCUGGAAGUAUUGUGACUUACACGUGUGAAAAAGGCUAUCGGCUCGUUGGCUCUAGACAGAUAUUGUGUCGGGAGACAGGGCUUUAUGAUCGCGUCGCGCCGACUUGCGUAGAAGAACCUCGUACAACGGUUCCACUUCCACCCCAUAUAACGAGUCGGCCUAUCAGCACGCGUGCUCGACCGGUAGUUCCGACACGCACACGAUCUACUACAACGGUUUCAUCCACAAGCAGUAUUGGCACGUCUCCAAUACCCCCGAUACAGGGUACCAGCGAUGUGGAGCUACCUGCAACCGUUAAGGAAACGAUCCCUCGAAAGCCAUCAAUAUUGUUGAAAACUCCUGCGCCGACUACGAUCACUGACGACAGCCGUGAUCAUCCUCAGGAUAAUGAAAUCGCCGGAAGUGGAGUUGACAAUGUUCAAGCUGGUUUUGGAGCCGGCGUUCCUGAGCCCUCGGGUCCGUUUAGAGUGGAAAAUGGGGAUCAAUCCUCCAACACUCACCAGGCCAAACUGAACCUCGGCGCUGUUAUAGCGCUCGGUGUUUUUGGAGGGUUCGUUUUCCUUGCCGCUGUGAUUACCACCGUAGUGAUUUUGAUACGCAGCGGCAGCGGCGGCGUCGGAGGAAGGCGCCGCAGGGGGCUCGGUGGGGUGGGAGGGUUGGGAGGUGGCGGAGGUGGUGGCCUUGGAAGGGGUGACGCCGCGAUGCCCUCGCGCUGGUACACGCUUCUGGCGCUACCCUUCCCCGACCAGCACCUGGGGCGCCGAGACCUCACGGCCCGCCGUGGCAGUGAUCACCCUUAUUCUUUUGGUCUGUCAGCCGCUCACCGUGCCGGUUACUUCUCCAACCCAUCCCUGUAAAUUCUGUUUGCUCCCUCCCCCCCAACCAACGCCCACCGAUACAUCAAUGAUCAAGAACCACCGCCACGCGCGACGUGCCAUCCUCAUGAGUGUCACUAGUCAAGGAAUCGCAGUAGAGGUAGCAAGCAUUACCGCCAUCGGGCAUCCCCUGACUGCAACACAGUAGCCAGUUUCGAUAGCAAUUCAUCAGAGAGCCGAGGUGGACUAAAUCGCUACUAUCGGCAAGCUUGG
rnacentral:misc_RNA from 1 species